rnacentral:tRNA from 1 species
GGGAAGGUGGCUCAGUGGUAGAGUGCUUGCCUGGCAUGCAUGAGGCCCUGGGUUCGAUUCCUCCGCACCA